AACGAACGCUGGCGGCAGGCUUAACACAUUGCAAGUCGAACGGAUGUAGCAAUACAUCAGUGGCAGACGGGUGAGUAACACGUGGGAACCUUCCUCGUUGUACGGAACAACUCAGGGAAACUUGAGCUAAUACCGUAUACGUCCGAGAGGAGAAAGAUUUAUCGCAAUGAGACGGGCCCGCGUCGGAUUAGCUAGUUGGUGGGGUAACGGCCUACCAAGGCGACGAUCCGUAGCUGAUCUGAGAGGAUGAUCAGCCACACUGGGACUGAGACACGGCCCAGACUCCUACGGGAGGCAGCAGUGGGGAAUCUUGGACAAUGGGCGCAAGCCUGAUCCAGCCAUGCCGCGUGAGUGAAGAAGGCCUUAGGGUUGUAAAGCUCUUUUGCCAGGGACGAUAAUGACGGUACCUGGAGAAUAAGCCCCGGCAAACUUCGUGCCAGCAGCCGCGGUAAUACGAAGGGGGCUAGCGUUGUUCGGAUUUACUGGGCGUAAAGCGCACGUAGGCGGAUUGUUAAGUCAGGGGUGAAAUCCCGGAGCUCAACUCCGGAACUGCCUUUGAUACUGGCAAUCUUGAGGCUGGAAGAGGUUAGUGGAAUUCCCAGUGUAGAGGUGAAA
rnacentral:rRNA from 1 species